rnacentral:rRNA from 1 species
UGGGGAAUUUUGGACAAUGGGCGAAAGCCUGAUCCAGCAAUGCCGCGUGUGUGAAGAAGGCCUUCGGGUUGUAAAGCACUUUUUGUCCGGAAAGAAAUCCUUGGCUCUAAUACAGUCGGGGGAUGACGGUACCGGAAGAAUAAGCACCGGCUAACUACGUGCCAGCAGCCGCGGUAAUACGUAGGGUGCAAGCGUUAAUCGGAAGUUACUGGGCGUAAAGCGUGCGCAGGCGGUUUGCUAAGACCGAUGUGAAAUCCCCGGGCUCAACCUGGGAACUCAUUGGUGACUGGCAGGCUAGAGUAUGGCAGAGGGGGGUAGAAUUCCACGUNUAGCAGUGAAAAUGCGUAGAGAUGUGGAGGAAUACCGAUGGCGAAGGCANCCCCCUGGGCAAUACUGACGCUCAUGCACGAAAGCGUGGGGAGCAAACAGGAUUAGAUACCC